ensembl:lncRNA
CGGACAGCGGCGGCCGCCGCCGGGCCCGAAUGCGGAGCCGCUGCGCAGCUCGCGCCUGCCGCGGGGCGCACCGGGCGCGGCGAGGCGGCCGUGCAGCCGCUGGCGGGGAGGGGGCGGCCGCUGGAGAGGAACUGCAAAUGACACAGCAGAGGGAAGGCUGGCCCAGCCAAUCCCGGAGCCGCUGCAGCGCCGGUUCCCCGCACACACUGUGGCGCAGGGACGGAGAGGAGGGGGCGGCUGGCCCCGCGCCUCCCCUGCCGUUCCCCGGCCGCUCCCCGGGGAGGAGGGCAGCUGGACGGAGGCUGCCUGGGGCCAGGGUGCAAGGGUGCAGCCGCACCUCCCUGCUGCCCGGCGUGGGAAGAAGAACGCGGAGCCAGGCUGCUGAGGGCCUGCGAGGAAGACAGCAGACCUCGGGCCGGGCCAGGCGACCCAGAGACCCGCCUGCACUGGAGCCAGAAGAGGCCAUCGUGAGUGUCUGCUCAGACUCUUCACGUAGCCGGCGAGGAAUGAAAGCAGAAGUGCGGCGUUACUCAGAGCCAGGGAAGAGCCGGCCUGGGGAACAUGGACGGCAGUGUUUCCUGCUUCCUCGUGUUUUCCAUCAAAAGCUAAGAGGCGGCGGGGAUUGCGAUCCUGGAAGGAGAACGGACUAGGGUGAACGCCUUAGAGAAGAACCGUGGGGAGUCCUCGGAUGUGGGGGAGAAGGAGGAGACACGUGACUGCAGCACGGAGCCUGGGAGGAGGGCAGCUCCAGGGAUGGAGAGUGGGUCGGAAGCUGCCAGAUGAUGAACGCAGCCACGAGCGGAGAAUAUAAAAGUUCCACGAAGACAGAGCCUUUUUCAUCGUUACUGAAGCUCCAAUACUUUGGCACCUGAUGCGAAAAGCUGACUCAUUUGAAAAGACCCAGAAAAAUUGAGGGCAGGAGGAGAAGGGGACGACAGAGGAUGAGAAGGUUGGAUGGCAUCACCGACUUGGGUUUGGGUGGACUCCGGGAGUUGGUGAUGGACAGGGAGGCCUGGCGUGCUGCAGUCCAUGGGGUUGCAAAGAGUCAGACACGACUGAGGGACUGAACUGAACUGAACUAAAACUGAAGCAUAACAUACAGGAAAGUACACAGAGAGUGAGGACCUUUCUGUUUCUAUUCUUUUUUAUUGUGGUAAACACAUAUAAAUGUACCAUCGUAACCACUUUGAGUAUACAGUUCACUGAUAUUCUGCAUAUUCAUGUUCUUGUACAACCAUCACCACCAUCCAUCUCCAGAAUUCUUUUCGUCUUUCAGAAUUGAAACUCAGUACCCAUUAAAUACUUGGGUGACUCAAAUGGUCCAGAAUCGGCCUGCAGUGCGGGAGACCUGGGUUGGAUCCCUGGGUGGGGAAGAUCCCCUGGAGGAGGGCAUGGCCACCCACUCCAGCAAUCUUGCCUGGAGAAUCCCUGUGGGCAGAGGAGCCUGGUGGGCUACAGUCCGUGGGGUCACAGAAAGUCGGGCACGACUGAGUGACUAAGCGCGCACGCACACAUUAAAUACUAACUCCCCAUCCCCUCCCCACAAACCCUGGCAAACACACCCACCUACUUCCUACUACUCUAGGCAUUUUAUAAAAGUAGAAUCAUACAGUAUUUGCCUUUUGGGGGGGACUGGCUUAUUUCACUUAACAUCAUGUGUUUAUCUGUGCUAUAGCACGUGUCAGAAUUUCCUUCCUUUUAAAGCUGAAUAAUAUCUCUUUGUAUGGAUAUAUUGCAUUUCAUUUACCCAUUCAUCUGUGGAUGGACACUCGGGGCAAGAACUGUUAUAUGGUUUGCUUGCCAGUGAAUGGAGUAGGUCCCGGCCUUAGUAUGUGCUCAUCAAAUAAUUGUUGAAUGAAUUUUAGUUAUAUUGAAUGUGAACUGAUGGUAGGCUACCUAGGUGGGCUGUCCAACAGGUGUUCCAAGAUGACCAAGGACUGAAGGUGAGGUAGGGAUGAGGCCAGUCGUGCGAAGGUGCUCUCAGGGUGCAGGGGGCCAAGCUGGGAGCCGGGCCUGGGCUCAGCACGGGGGAGAGCAGAGCAGAAAAGGUGGUCUCAGGGAAGUGCUAUAUGCUUCACACUAAGAGAGGCAUUUAGAAGGGAGUGCUGAGUACUAUCCAAGUCAGGAGGGAUGCGGUCUGAGGAAGGAACACGAGUUGGCAAAUAGUGGUAGACCCAAGGUGAACUUGACUCUGUCUGACAUCAUUGUUGACCUUGGAAAGAAAUUCGUGGUGGACGUACAGGCCAGAACCUGCGAUCAGGGGAAAUACACCAAAACAGCCAGAGCCGUUAAAUGCUGAGCGCCGGAAGGCGUCAGGCCCCACAGCAGGAGACACAGCAGCGAAGAUGCAUGAUGCUCGGACCAUUCUAGAGCUUCACGCAAGUCUCGAACUUGAGUGUGGCCUUGGAAUACUGUUGGGCUCUGUGCAGUAAAGAGGGGAGAGACGACAGCCCCAGGUACAUAAGCAGCGAGAAAAAGAGCUUGGUAGAGGGAGUGGGGACCUGACUGGAGACCACAGGAAAGCCAGAUCCGUGAGGCAGAGGAUACGUGGGGAAAGUGGGAAAUAUCUUGGCCUUUCUGUUCUUUGCUUUUAACAUUGAUUAGGAGAUGACUAUUGGGAAGCUUGAGUGAUCUACAUUGAAACACCGCAUCUAACAUAACUUAGCAUUCCCACUUACAAUUCCUGGACACUAAUCCCCAGGACAACCCGGUUACCCUGUAAGUACAAUAGAAUAUUUUAUCAUGGAUGCUGGUAGCUGUCAAGACCUGGGUGCUUGUGACAGACACACCUGGCUCAAAGGUGAGUGCAGCUGUUUCUGGGCUGCGUGCUGGAGAAUCCAAGCCCCCGUUCAGUGUAACUGCUAUGCAGCAAACUCCCAGCGAGAGCCAGGCCAGGUGCUAGAUGCUCGGAGGUCAAGACGAAAUGGCUGAGAGAUAAAAAGUCAGACUUGAACCGGGACUGUCACCUUCGUCUUCAAGGCUUUCUGCAGGGGAGAUGUUGGGCUGGAGACUGAGAAAGCUGAUGCCCCACCUGCCACCACCUCACUCUUCAGCAGCUUCCACACAAGUGCUCACUGCCACCACUGUACCCUGGGGCCAGGCAAAAGCCUGGCCUCUCAUAAUGAAAGUGAAAGUCGCUCAGUCGUGUCCGACUCUUUAUGACCCCAUGGACUGUACCAUCCAUGGAAUUCUCCAGGCUAGAAUACUGGAGUGGGGAGCCUUUCCCGUCUCCAGGGGAUCGUCCCAACCCAGGGAAGCCCAGGUCUCCCACAUUGCAGGUGGAUUCUUUACCAGCUGAGCCAGAAGGGAAGCC